UUUAAAUAUUAGACACAGACUCUAAAUUUCACCAAACUGAUUCAGAAUUGUGCUAGGGGAAGCUGCUGUUUGUGAAGUUAUUUAAAUGUAGUCUUGAGAAGCAAUAAAACCAGAAAUCAUCGAUGGGGGUUUUGGCACAGGAAAUCCUGUUGUGAUUUCCAUCAGAUAUAAAGCUGCCAUACAGUCACAGAGCAAGAAUCAGAUGAGAAAUGCUGCAGAUGAGGAUCCCACACACACAGAAGGAGACGAUGGCUCAGUUUUCAGUAAGUGUGAUUGUGCGGAUGGUCGUGGCUCUCACAGUCGUCUCAUCUUUGUCAUUUUGCAGAAAGUAUGGAAAGGGAACAUCAGUAGUUGCAGGAUAUUCCAUUGUUACCAUUGUCUGUAGACUGAAGGUCAAAGUGCAAGCAACCAGCAAAAAACAUUCAAGAGCUCAAUUUUACUACUUCUGAGGCAGAUGUUCCUGCAAAAAUAUUUCUUCAUGGAGGAGAAUACUGCAUAUUUAUAUGCAUAUUAUUUUGUUUGCUCUUUAAAUCUAUUACAUUAAAAAAGUGAAAUAGUGAAA
ensembl:lncRNA